CCCUUAGAUGUUCUGGGCCGCACGCGCGCUACACUGAUGCAUUCAACGAGUGUACCUUGGCCGAGAGGCCUGGGCAAUCUUUUGAACGUGCAUCGUGAUAGGGAUAGAUUAUUGCAAUUAUUAAUCUUGAACGAGGAAUUCCUAGUAAACGCAGAUCAUCAAUCUGCAUUGAUUACGUCCCUGCCCUUUGUACACACCGCCCGUCGCUCCUACCGAUUGAGUGGUCCGGUGAGGCUUUGGGAUCUGAGCGGAAAGAGCGUUUCGCUGUUUCUGCCCGGAAAACUCAGUCGAACCUUAUCAUUUAGAGGAAGGAGAAGUCGUAACA
rnacentral:rRNA from 1 species